rnacentral:rRNA from 1 species
AUUGAACGCUGGCGGCAUGCCUUACACAUGCAAGUCGAACGGCAGCACGGGUGCUUGCACCUGGUGGCGAGUGGCGAACGGGUGAGUAAUACAUCGGAACAUGUCCUGUAGUGGGGGAUAGCCCGGCGAAAGCCGGAUUAAUACCGCAUACGAUCUACGGAUGAAAGCGGGGGACCUUCGGGCCUGGCGCUAUAGGGUUGGCCGAUGGCUGAUUAGCUAGUUGGUGGGGUAAAGGCCUACCAAGGCGACGAUCAGUAGCUGGUCUGAGGGGACGACCAGCCACACUGGGACUGAGACACGGCCCAGACUCCUACGGGAGGCAGCAGUGGGGAAUUUUGGACAAUGGGCGAAAGCCUGAUCCAGCAAUGCCGCGUGUGUGAAGAAGGCCUUCGGGUUGUAAAGCACUUUUGUCCGGAAAGAAAUCCUUGGCCCUAAUACGGUCGGGGGAUGACGGUACCGGAAGAAUAAGCACCGGCUAACUACGUG